AGGGUGAGAUGCAUAGACCUGUUGCCCAGGCUGGGAGUCUUUAUACCACGCGGCUCGACUUUAUUUUUCCAAAGUCAGUUAAAGCUCAUCUGACUCUAAACCUUACCCAUUAAUUUUAUUUUUGAUGCAAAUUAAGAAUUGUACCUCAAGAAGCCAUUGUGCUUCUAGAAAACCUGUUCUUGAAGGCUUAUCUCUGUGCUUCUGCCUCCCCUCCAUCCAUUCUCUGGAGCGAAGGUAAUGACAUUCAUACAAGGGGCAACCCACCUUCUGUUCUCCCAAGGAGAGGAGUCAGCAGCCUGUAAGUGGAUCUGAUGAAUUUAUGGUUCAAACUGAAGUGAUUGCUCUUGUCUCUGUUUUCACUCCUUUGGGAGAAAGUGGUUCUCCAGUGGUUUAGGCUUUUGCUUAAGGCAUAUGAAGUUGAUUUCCCUUUGUACGUGUUUCCAAAUCAUUGCCUGAAGAAUUCGCUGGUUCUGUUUAAUUCAACAGAACGUUAUUGAACACCCACAACGUGCAGAAUUCUAGGAGAGAUUGAGGGAUGAGAACAACAGAGAGUUUAUGCUGUAAGACAAGUAUAGAAUUAGUUACAAAACACAAUAGAGUUCCUGAAAGAUGCUUUCAUAGAGAUGCCAAAAAUACAAUGUGGAUGGAUGUGUUAUGCCCGAAGUUCUGAAACCUCCCACAAAAGACCACCAGAGUCGUAAGUCAAAGCCAAGCGGCAAGGGUCAUUUAUUGCAGGUUCGAACCUGGACCUCUGUGCCCCCGUUGCCGGUGACGCCAAGAGGCCCUGAGAGAGGUUUUUACACCCCUUUUAUAGACAGGUACAAACAAGUCAUGGGGAAACCAGGAAUUUUUCACAGUUACAGAGCUGCGAUUGGUUGGUGUUUAAAGUUGGACACUUAACAGUAUUCGAUUGGUUCCUGCCUUUAGGUCAGACCACAACCGGGGGUACGGGUAUCACAAUGAUUGAUCAGGAAUACACGGAUGUGCCAGGCAACAAUGAUUGAUCAGGAGUACACGGAUGUGCCAAGUAACAACGGUUGAUCAGGAAUAUACGGAUGUGCCAGGCAACAAUGAUUGAUCAGGAAUACAUGGGCGCGCCAAGCAAUUGUACAGAAGCGGAACAAGCUGGUUAAGCUUGGUUAGGUUUCAGUUUCCCUUAACUUAAGCUUUUAAGUUUCAAUUUUCUCAGGCCUUUCAGAUGCAAAGGAUUGUGGGGCACUGAGAUGGGCAUUGGCAGUGAGCAGGGAAAGAUGAUCCCAAGUCCUGAUGGCUAGAGAGCAUUUUGAGGUGAGCAGUUGUGUGAGGGAAGGUAAGGGGUGGUGGGAAGAUAUUUCUGGAGAAUAUGCUCAUUUAGUUUGACUAAAGCAAGGAGCACAUAUGGUGGGGCAUUUGUGGAUGUUAAAUUUGAGUGUGUUGGGAGCAUCCAAUGGCAGGGGUGAAUAUAUUUUGCGGGUGUAUGCAAAGGGGAGAGAGUGAGGACAAGUUGUUGAGUGGGUCAGUGGCAUGAUUAGCAAUUAAUCUGGGGAAGAUAUGGCUGGAAGUCUAGACUUGGAAGGCAGCUGAAAUAUUGGGAAAAGCCAUUGAGGGUGGGGAGUGAGGAAAGCACUGAGCUGAGCUGGAGCAUUGGAGGGGAGUGGAGAGAGACCCCAGGGAAGUCUUGAGUGUGGAUUGGGUGAGAAAGGGCAGUGAGGUUCUCAAAGAGAAGGUUCUAGCAAUUGAGAGUAGGGCCAUGCCAUUCAAAAACAAAGCAAAACAAAACCCCAAAACAGAAUUCCAAAGCAGAAGCUGGUUUUAGAGGCUGGGGAUGGAUGAGAAGGUGAUUCCAACAUUUUGGAAAUGUUAAACUUGUUAUGUUGGAGCGCUAUCCAGUUGGAGGUGUUGUUCAGCCUGCUGUUGGAUGGGCUGUGUGGGAUUAGGGCAAGAAAUCCUGCCUCUCGGUUUGGCCACUGGAUUUUGGCACCUUUGCCCUGAGGCAGAGAGGAAGAGGGGAAGAAAAUCAGGACUGGAUUUAACAGAACAUGCAGGACUUCAGAGCAUGUUUUGGGGAGCAGUGGAGUUGGGCUUGGAGUCCUGCUGUGCUAUUCAAUUUCUGUGAGGAUUUGGGCAAUUGAUGGAAUAUCUCUGAGCCUCAGUUUUCCCACUUAAUAAGAUGGAGACCACUGUUUUUCUUCAACCUCAGAACGUUGUGUAAGGAUGAAUUGAGUUCAUUAAACAGGUACCAAUAUCGUCAUUACUUUGUUAGGCUGAAGAUUAUUAUUAUUUUUGUUAUAAGCUGGUAUGUCUUUCUAUUUUGCCUUUCAAUCCAUAGUAGUUACCCACGUGCAUUCAUACAUUCCCAGGCAUGUAUUUCAGGAUGGAACGUUAUAAGAGCAACGUUGCACCAUCAGGUCGAUUACAGGAAAUCUCCUAUACUGCUCAUGUGGUAUCCAGAAAAGUUGCUUUAAAAUUUUUUUUUUUAAUGUUUAUUUUUGAGAGAGAGGAAGAGCACAAGCAGGAGAGGAACAGAGAGAGAGGGACACAGACUUCAAAGCAGGCUCCAGGCUCUGAGCUGUCAGCACAGAGCCCAAUGUGGGGCUUGAACCCACAAACUGUGAGAGCAUGACCUGAGCCAAAGUUGUACACUUAACCGAGUGAGCCACCCAGGUGCCCCAAUAGCACUUAAAAAAAUUUUUUUUUUCAAUGUUUUUAUUUUUGAGAGAAAGAGAUACAGAGCACGAGUGGGGGAGGGGCAGAGAGAGGGAGACACAGAACCCAAAGCAGGCUCCAGGCUCUGAGCUGGCAGCACAGAGCCUGAUACGGGCCUCGAACCCACAAACCCUGAGAUCAUGACCUGAGCCAAAGUUGGACGCUCAACCAACUGAGCUACCCAGGUGCCCCAUAAAAGUUGCUUUUAUAUAUGGGGUUCUCUUGGUUGGUUGAUGGAAAAAAAUAAUAAGGAACUUCAGUUUUAAUUUUGGAAUUACAGAUCAGUUAACAUGUUUAUUUUCAAAUUUGCAGAGUUUAUGAUAUUGAAUUUUUCAAACUUUAUCAGAUUUAUUUUAUAUUUCUUAAAUUAUCUUCUCCUUAUUACCAGAGAGUGAACUGUAACUUCCUUUCCGUACGAGAAGCACAGCCAGUCACAGAGAAUCCUAUUUGUCUGCUUUUGACUGGCAGGAACACAAGCGAAGGUUGGGGUUUGUGACUUUUGAACGCUGUUCCGGUGGGUGUUCUGAAAAUGAGCUCUUUCAUUUGGUUCUUUUGCUUGCUGUCUGCUGUCCUGUUGACGUCAGGAAGAAAUGCUCUGGAGAGUUCUUCCCUGAGAGGGGUGUUGGCUCCAAUCCUGGUCUCUCGGGCUGUGCUACAGAAAUGUUGCUAAAGGCGGCUUUCCCCUGAUCAUCAUAAAUCACAAACUUUAUGGCUGCGAAAUGGCACAUCCAUUCUAGAAGUCAUGUGCAAAUUUGAAACACAAUGCUAAUAUUUAAUCCAAAUGUCUAAGGCUUUUAAAAUACUGGCCAAAUUUAGCCUAUCCUUUUAAGGAGUUCCUAUUAUAUGAAUUAAAGCAAUGUAGCUUUUUCAAAUUUUCAGGGAGGUUUACAGUGCUAGUGAAAGCAGAUACUUUUCAAGUUGAUUUUUGUUCCCCAACCUCCAAAAAGAGAACUCUUGUGUGUCUAGGCCUUUAAAAAGGAACAAUUCACAAGGACUCAAACCCUGACAGGAUGCUUCCCACCCUUGAAUUACUUAGACUGCAAGGCCAACAAUUUGAAUAAAAAUGGAGUGCAUCUGAAGGUA